UUCUAAUAGUUUAGGAAGAUGUUGAGACUGUAGGGAUGUGAAUAAGUUCUAAAUAACAGAAGUUCAAAUAGUUUAGGAAGAUGUUGAGAAUGUAGAGAUGUGAAUAAGUUCAAAUAGUUUAGGAAGAUGUUGAGACUGUAGAGAUGUGAAUAAGUUCUAAAUAACAGAAGUUCAAAUAGUUUAGGAAGAUGUUGAGACUGUAGAGAUGUGAAUAAGUUCAAAUAGUUUAGGAAGAUGUUGAGACUGUACGGAUGUGAAUAAGUUUUAAAUAACUUAACUAGCAAGGAGUCUAGUGGCCAGCAUAAAGACAUGUACCCAUUGGAUUUUUCAAAUUUAAAAUACAAGUCUUCAUUGAGAUUCGAACCCAGGACCCAAGGUUCGAAAGUCAAGCACUUAACCGCUUUGGAUUUACAAGAACUCGUCAAAGAUGUUCUGCAAGAUCUUCCGCAAG
rnacentral:sRNA from 1 species